AGGUGGUCAUACUGUAGGGAGAUGGUUUCUAAGGGGAGGUGGUCAUACUGUAGGGAGAUGGUUUCUAAGGGUAGGUGGUCAUACUGUAGGGAGAUGGUUUCUAAGGGGAGGUGGUCACCAUAGGGAGAUGGUUUCUAAGGGGAGGUGGUCAUACUGUAGGGAGAUGGUUUCUGAGGGUAGGUGGUCAUACUGUAGGGAGAUGGUUUCUAAGGGGAGGUGGUCAUACUGUAGGGAGAUGGUUUCUGAGGGUAGGUGGUCAUACUGUAGGGAG